rnacentral:misc_RNA from 1 species
GGCUCUUGAAAAUCUAGCACAAAACAGUUGAAAUUUGUAAACAUCCACUAACACAUCUUACACGACUUAAAUGAACCAUAGGCUCACGCGUAAUUAUUGAAAACAUAAAAAAGUACAAACAGACGAACAAAAAUUAGAAAAACUAUUAAGAGCUAUCGACUUUAGAUUCUCCUUCACAAACAAAAGUUCCAUCGACAGUGUAAUAGUUGCAACCCUUACUGCCUGCACAACAAUUGGUGCAUAUUCUACCUUCACUCCUUUUAUUGCCUGGACAUAUCGAGUACGCUAUUCUUGGAUUACAAUUACGAGGACAAGCUUUAUUUGUUUCGUCUAUAGUCUUUUUUGUCUGUCCUUCACAAAUGAAUGUUCCGUUAGCACUAUAAUAGUUGCAACCUUCAGUGCCUGAGCAACAAUUUGUGCAUCCAACUUUGAACUUUUUGUUUCCAGAUUUUGGGCAUCUCCCAUAUUGAAUACUUGGAUUACAAUUACGGGGACAAGCAUUUGCUGCAUCCACCUCACUUAAAAGUAAAACAGUUCCAGCAAAAAUAGCUGAAUAAUUAAAUAAAGUCAUUAGCAAAUAUGUUUAAUGUAGAAUUACCAAAGAUGAUAAGAAAUAAAAAGACUAACCAAACAAAAUGAGGAGGGCAACUUUGUUGAAGGCCAUACUUUCUUGUGAUUAAUAGUACCUUGAACUUUUUUUUUUUGAGUGAAGAAUGUGUUGACCUAUCCACCUAUUUAUAGCAAGCUCAUCAUCUCUACGGGAUCGAUAACUUAUUUCAUUAUGGGUGUGUUUGGUACAAAGAAAAAUGUUUUUCUUGAAAACAAAAAGAUUUUUGAUUUAUUUUUUGAUGUUUGUUUGAUUAGUAGAAAAUAUUUUUUAGAAUUUUUUUUAGUUGAUUUAUGAAUGAAAAUAUUUUUUUAAAAACAAAUUUAAUUUUUUUUUUGGAGCGGGAUUUGGGGGAUCAAAUGAUAGGAGUAAAAAAAUUAAAUUUUGAAAUGGAAAAUACUUUUUAAAACGAACUUAAAUUUUUUUUUGAGCGUAGGAGGUUGCGGAUAGGGGUGUAGUGAAAAAUAAAAAUUUAAAAUUUUGAAAAUAUUUUUUAAAAACAAACUUAAUUUUUUUAGAGGGGUAGGGUUGGUGGGGGUGUUGUGGGUGGGGUGGGGUGAGGUGAAAAAAAUAAAAAUUAAAAAUACUUUUCAAAAACAACUUAGUUUUUUUUGGAGGGGAUGGGGGCUGAUGGGGGGAGGGGUCAUCGUAGGGGCAGAGGGGUAAAAAAAUAAAAAUUUGAAAUUGGAAGUAUUUUUAAAUAGAAGUUUUAGAUUUAUUUUUAAACAAAAAAAUGUAAUUUGAAGUUGGAGAAAAGUUUUGAAAAAUGUUUUUCUUAGUUUUUGAAGGAAAGUCAUUGCCCUUAAUUUUGAGGAAAAUAAGUUGAUUUGAAUAACAUUUUUCAAAACUUUUAACCCAACCAAACAUGAGAAAAUUAAAAAACAUUUUUCGAAAAAUGUUUU